CCUACGGGUGGCAGCAGUGGGGAAUAUUGCACAAUGGGGGAAACCCUGAUGCAGCGACGCCGCGUGAGUGAAGAAGUAAUUCGUUAUGUAAAGCUCUAUCAGCAGGGAAGAAAAUGACGGUACCUGAGUAAGAAGCCCCGGCUAACUACGUGCCAGCAGCCGCGGUAAUACGCAGGGGGCAAGCGUUAUCCGGAUUUACUGGGUGGAAAGGGAGCGUAGACGGCAGUGCAAGUCUGGAGUGAAAGGCGGGGGCUCAACCCCCGGACUGCUCUGGAAACUGUACGGCUGGAGUGCAGGAGAGGUAAGUGGAAGUCCUGGUGUAGCGGUGAAAUGCGUAGAUAUUAGGAGGAACACCAGUGGCGAAGGCGGCUUACUGGACUGUAACUGACGUUGAGGCUCGAAAGCGUGGGGAGCAAACAGGAUUAGAUACCCUGGUAGUC
rnacentral:rRNA from 1 species